ACUCCUACGGGAGGCAGCAGUGGGGAAUUUUGCACAAUGGGGGAAACCCUGAUGCAGCGACGCCGCGUGAUUUAGAAGGCCUUCGGGUUGUAAAAAUCUUUUGUAUAGGAAGAAAAUGACAGUACUAUACGAAUAAGGUCCGGCUAAUUACGUGCCAGCAGCCGCGGUAAUACGUAAGGACCGAGCGUUGUCCGGAAUCAUUGGGCGUAAAGGGUACGUAGGCGGCUAGAAAAGUUAGAAGUCAAAGGCUAUAGCUCAACUAUAGUAAGCUUCUAAAACUAUUUAGCUUGAGAAAAUGGAAGGGAAAGUGGAAUUCCUAGUGUAGCGGUGGAAUGCGCAGAUAUUAGGAAGAAUACCGGUGGCGAAGGCGACUUUCUGGCCAUUAUCUGACGCUGAGGUACGAAAGCGUGGGUAGCAAACAGGAUUAGAUACCCUGGUAGGAUAGCG
rnacentral:rRNA from 1 species